rnacentral:rRNA from 1 species
AGAGCGAACGCUGGCGGCAGGCCUAAUACAUGCAAGUCGAACGGAUCCUUCGGGAUUAGUGGCGGACGGGUGAGUAACACGUGGGAACGUGCCCUUUGGUUCGGAACAACUCAGGGAAACUUGAGCUAAUACCGAAUGAGCCCCCAUCCUUAAACAAGAUGGGUGGGAAAGAUUUAUCGCCAUUGGAGCGGCCCGCGUCUGAUUAGCUAGUUGGUGGGGUAAAGCCCACCAAGGCGACGAUCAGUAGCUGGUCUGAGAGGAUGAUCAGCCACACUGGGACUGAGACACGGCCCAGACUCCUACGGGAGGCAGCAGUAGGGAAUCUUGCGCAAUGGGCGAAAGCCUGACGCAGCCAUGCCGCGUGAAUGAUGAAGGUCUUAGGAUUGUAAAAUUCUUUCAGCGGGGACGAUAAUGACGGUACCCGCAGAAGAAGCCCCGGCUAACUUCGCGCCAGCAGCCGC